CUUUUCGCUCUUACUUCUGUAACCGGAGCGACAACCCGGUAUAUAGCAAGUUUUAGGCAUCGUCGCUCACGUGUACCAUCCCUGUGUCCUCGUACACAAUGCUCAAAGCCGUCAGAUCUACAAAUUAUGCUAAAUGAGGAAAACUGACCGCCGAUGCUGCCAGAUUCCUUGGGCGCCCAGCUCUUAUGACACAGCACGCACCUCUCGUCUAGUUCCCACCGGGCUCCCAGCACCGCUGCGCGGCAGCUCCGGCAGCAUAGCAGGCUCUCCCAUAGCGUUACGGCGGAGUUUCGUGAUCACAAGAGCAUUGAAGGACUCUGGCACAACCAAGUUGAUUGUGACAAUUUAGCUUGUGUGCUUACAUAACACCAUACAGAAAUAAUCAGACUGACAAUGAGCACAGAAAAAUAUGAAAGGACUUGGCGAGCUGUAAUUAGUCCACUCGUUUGUAAAAUGCUUUGCACACCAUCCUCAGUUGGGACUAUGAUACAUAAACAUAUGCAGUGUUUGUGCUACACAUGAGCAAAAAAGACUUUUGUUACCAUGCUGCCAAAUUGCUAAACAGUGUUAAGCAACAAAAUAUAACUUACAAAGCCGUCUCCUAUGUAUGAAAAGUCUGGCUUCUGCGCUGUAAACAGAAAAAGAAACGUUUUUAGCACAUAACAGUUCACAACUGGCCUCGUUGGGAAGGACACUGUAACAGGUUUGAAAUGCUAGAAACAAGAGGAGUAAUAUAGAAGCUAACUUUCAACAAAUGGUACUGAGGCACACAUAUAUAUAUAUAUUUACAACACAUAUACUUUUAAAUGCCACAGGCAGUGACAAGACUUUUUGUACUAGAAAACUAUCAGUGUCAGAGCACACACUAUGGCUCAUUCAAGAAUGACAAUUCCUUUUCUGACAGGAGUGAUAGAGUGAAGCUAAACUUGCAAUUCUGCUCAUAUGCAGUUGCUUUUGCUGCUUCACAAUCAUGCUUGCGCCUCUGCAGACAGAAAAAGGAAGGCAUGCAUACUAAUCUCGUGGGAAACUGGGUGGAGCAGCACUUUCUUCAAUGUAAUGUGCAAUACUAUCCAACGGCUCAUAUAUGUGUAUGCAGGAGUACAAAUAUAAUUUAGGCUAAACGACGUGUGCAAACAAUGCAUGCUGUAUAUACUUUGUUGAUGUAUUUGGUUUAUACUCCCGUGAUAGUUGGUGAAAAAUCAUUACCUUUCUGUCUUUGUCUUCUUCUUUAUCUGUUGUUUCAUCUUCCACAUAAAGCUUUGGAAUAUGUACCCUCUUUCUUGCUUGAUGCUUUUUCAAGCCGCUUCGUGUGCCUUUAACGAAAGCUACCGAGCAUUAUGCUUCUUGCAUUCCUAAAACGUUUCACCCAACCUCCUAGCAGCCAAGAGAACAUGUUUUAAAAAGUUCGUGAAAGCAGUCACAGUCCGGUGGUGUAAUAUUUAUUUAACCAGCAAGAUGAGUGAAUGUAUUGCACCUGCAUAAUAUUACCGUAACUCUAUAGAUCAACUUACCAUCUAUCACAGUUUUACUGUUACUUUACUAUUUUUAUUUGCACGCAUAUGUCUGCUUUACUGUCAUAUAUUUUCGCAUAUCUUGAUUUACAUAUCUUUUCGUGAGAAUUGCGUAGUUUUUUUUUUAGUUUACCGGUCCUGCAUUCCUGUAUCAAGAGCGAUCGUCACCAUUAAAUGAAUGGGCGCUAAAUAAAAGAAAAAUAAUCUACAAUAAUUCAACAUGCUCUAUAUGCGAGUGUCACGUUUUGUAAGUAAUUGGUGACGUCCCGAAAUGGUUCUGUUCACAAAGAACUGUUUCCAGAUAUGCGAAUGUUGCGAGUCACUUUAAAAUUUUCACAAUUGCCAGAGAAAUAGGAACACCUCAUAAUUAAACGAGAGAAUAUUGUGAGCUACUUACGGUCCAGCAUCAGGAUUUGCCCACUGUAGGUUCCAGUAUUUUCUUCAUUCACGUCGUCUCGCCACAUGACAGAAUAUAGCAGUUGGUUAUCAAAAUCUGUUUCAUCACCGGGAUUAAACUUUUCUAUGUCAUCGAUUGUUACGAUAUGCAGCCGGUUGUUCUCUUCAUGUACAAACCGUACAAGUGCAAACAUGGUGUAUUAACACUAACAGAACUAAAUACAAAAAAGAGAGAAAAAAAAUGGAUGGAGGCUAGAUAAAAAUUUAGAAAGCAAACUACAAUUAAAAUGGAUGACAAAAGCUGAGCUAUAUAUAAAGGAACUAAACGACGAGCCACAAAAAGCCAAUAAUAGACAAACGAUCAGCAACAAACAGGAAAACGUGCCUAGCACUGACGCUGAUGAUCGCGAUGUCCCCCCCAUAUCACCUUCCCCAACCAAAUAACUUUGAGGCGAUAUUCGUUUUGUGGACUUUUUUAAAUUAUUAUUUCAGGAGUCUACACACUGACGUACAAAGGCUGACUUAGGCUAAUUUUAUAUAACACCAAACAAAACUACGUGCAAACAUUAUUUUUUGCUAAGCAAAUGUGCUAAGUACGGUAGGGUAACUGUGUAUUUCAUAAUAAUUAAAUGUGCUUUAUACCUAUUUAGCAUCUGGCUUUUUUUUUCUUGUCUCUGGCAAGAGUUUUAUUGUAGAUUUGGUAAAUGAGGGCGAUGGUCUGGCAUGCGUUCAUUGACUGCUCACUGUACAGGUUGCCACCAUCAUCAUCGGCAUUACGUUGCAUGUGCGUGCGUCGUCGCUUAUACUAAAUUUGUUUCAGUGAGAUCGUGGUUCGCACUGAGGAACAUUGAGGCUCGCUGGCAAGUGCCAGAAGUGUUUUAAAUUGAGUGGCUGUACAUAUUUAUUCUACGCAGUAUUUCUGCAUGUAAACGUUUUUUUUUGUAUUGCACUGUUUUAAGCCUCGUGUGUUGAAGAUGAAGCGGAGCGAAUGCUACCUUGACUGCGGUGGUAACAGUGGUGUCGUGGAUCUCCCGAAGACAACGAUAUUUCGUUUGAUGGGAACACCUUCAUGUGACCCGCUAGUGGCAGGUGCACAAAGUGCGUCUGUUGCAUCGGUGUCAACUGCUGCGCCGCUACCACAGCGGCCCGACUGUGACGCAACGCCCCUUCACUUCCUUGACACAAAUGGCCGUGCAGGAGAAUUUGGCGAUGAUGGCCAGAUGGAAGAUGAACUGUUUUCCCAGUUUUCUGAUACAGUGUCUGGUGAUGCUGCCAGUGGAACAGAUCAGUUUUUCUGGUCUGGUGACGAGAGCGGUACCGAAACAGCUUCUGCAGCAGUUGAUGGUGACCAUGAAGUCCACGCACACAACAGUCUCCCGCCGCAAGACCUGCUUGCUCUAACAGUCAAUUUCACGAUAGAGUUUGGGCUUCCCUGGAAUGUCGUGGAAGCUCUCCAGAAGCUGAUCACGUACGUUCUUGACAAGAAAGACGUUCCUGCAACCAAAUAUUUUUUCAAGAUGUAUGUUGGUGCAGGUGUCGAAGCCGCGAGAUUUCACUUCUACUGCACAGAAUGCUUGAUGCGGCUGGCUGAAACUUCAGGAAAACUCCAAGAAAGAAACAGCGUUGAGGGCUGCUGUUCAAUUUGUCAUAAAAAUUACAGUGGCGGCAAAAUGCUCCUCGAUGGCCACUUUGAAGUUGCCGCUCGAACAGCAAAUCUCUCUUCUUGCUGAUACAUCUGUGGCAGCUGCCCUUUCCAGUCAACUUGAAGACAUUGCUGAGAACAGAGGUAACAGCCAAAUGUCUGAUUUGACUGACAGUCAGAUGUAUAAAGACAUUAGGGUGAAGAUUUCUCGUCUUGACGUUACGCUUCUGCUCAAUGUAGAUGGGGCACCGAUUUUCAAGUCAUCCAAGUAUUCGAUUUGGCCUAUUCAAGUGAGCAUAAAUGAGUUGCCACCACAUCUGCGUAGCAAGAAUGUUCUGAUACCAGCUUGGGGGUGUAUGGACAGUUCCAUGCUGACAUGACUGUUCGUAAAGUCAUUCGUGGAGCAGAUGAAUCAGCUUGAAACGGCCAGUCACAUGGAAAGCUGGGUCACAAAGCAUUCACUUCAAGGUAUACUAUGCGAGUUGUACUGCUGAUGCACUGGCAAGGGAGCACUCCUCCAGAACAUUGUCCAUUUCAAUGGCUACCAUGGUUGAGGCUGGUGUCUUCACCCAGGGGAGACUGUAGAUGGUUGACAGGUAUGCCUUCACAACCUAUGCGGGAACGCCCAGAUUCACUGGGUGAUCCCGCCAUCUCUAACCUGACCCAGCAUCCUGGUAGAUGCGGCGGACUUGCAGGACGCUGGAAGAGCAGCUCUUGCUGAUGACCUGGGACAGCACGGUUGCCAAAGCCACUGAAGUCCUGGACUGAGAACCCCACCUCGAUGACCGAAUUACCUUACUCAUUCAGUAAAGUUUCACUGC